CGUCCCUUAGCUCAACUGGAUAGAGUGCUGGACUCCGACUCCAGAGGUUAUGGGUUCAAAUCCCUUAGGGACGACCA
rnacentral:tRNA from 1 species